rnacentral:tRNA from 1 species
GGCCCCCGUUGUGUAGCGGCCUAGCACGCCGCCCUCUCAAGGCGGUAGCGCCGGUUCGAAUCCGGUCGGGGUACA